AUCCAGACUCCUACGGGAGGCAGCAGUGGGGGAUAUUGCACAAUGGGGGAAACCCUGAUGCAGCGACGCCGCGUGUGGGAAGACGGUCUUCUGGAUUGUAAACCACUGUCCCCAGGGACGAAAAUGACGGUACCUGGGGAGGAAGCUCCGGCUAGCUACGUGCCAGCAGCCGCGGUAAUACGUAGGGAGCAAGCGUUGUCCGGAAUUACUGGGCGUAAAGGGCGCGUAGGUGGGCGCUUAAGUCAGGUGUGAAAACUCCGGGCUCAACCUGGAGACUGCACUUGAAACUGGGUGUCUUGAGGGCAGGAGAGGAAAGUGGAAUUCCUAGUGUAGCGGUGAAAUGCGUAGAUAUCAGGAGGAACACCGGUGGCGAAGGCGGCCUGCUGGACUGCGACUGACGUUGAGGCCCGAAAGCGUGGGGAGCAAACAGGAUUAGAUACCCCUGUAAA
rnacentral:rRNA from 1 species